UCCUGGGUGGCUCAGCUGGUUGAGCAUCUGACUUCAGCUCAGGUCAUGAUCUCACAGUUUGUGGGUUCGAGCCCCACGUCGGGCU
rnacentral:tRNA from 1 species